rnacentral:rRNA from 1 species
AUUGAACGCUGGCGGCAUGCCUUACACAUGCAAAUCGAACGGUAACGGGCCUUCGGGUGCCGACGAGUGGCGAACGGGUGAGUAAUACAUCGGAACGUGCCCGAUCGUGGGGGAUAACGAGGCGAAAGCUUUGCUAAUACCGCAUACGAUCUACGGAUGAAAGCAGGGGACCGCAAGGCCUUGCGCGGACGGAGCGGCCGAUGGCAGAUUAGGUAGUUGGUGGGAUAAAAGCUUACCAAGCCGACGAUCUGUAGCUGGUCUGAGAGGAUGAUCAGCCACACUGGGACUGAGACACAGCCCAGACUCCUACGGGAGGCAGCAGUGGGGAAUUUUGGACAAUGGGCGCAAGCCUGAUCCAGCCAUGCCGCGUGCAGGAUGAAGGCCUUCGGGUUGUAAACUGAUUUUGUACGGAACGAAAAGCCUUCUUUUAAUACAGGAGGGUCAUGACGGUACCGUAAGAAUAAGCACCGGCUAACUACGUG